rnacentral:rRNA from 1 species
UGGGGAAUAUUGGACAAUGGGCGCAAGCCUGAUCCAGCCAUGCCGCGUGAGUGAUGAAGGCCCUAGGGUUGUAAAGCUCUUUCACCGGUGAAGAUAAUGACGGUAACCGGAGAAGAAGCCCCGGCUAACUUCGUGCCAGCAGCCGCGGUAAUACGAAGGGGGCUAGCGUUGUUCGGAUUUACUGGGCGUAAAGCGCACGUAGGCGGACUUUUAAGUCAGGGGUGAAAUCCCGGGGCUCAACCCCGGAACUGCCUUUGAUACUGGAAGUCUUGAGUAUGGUAGAGGGGAGUGGAAUUCCGAGUGUAGAGGUGAAAUUCGUAGAGAUUCGGAGGAACACCAGUGGCGAAGGCGGAUCACUGGACCAUUACUGAAGCUGAGGUGCGAAAGCGUGGGGAGCAAACAGG